rnacentral:tRNA from 1 species
GGAAGCAUUGCUCAACAAGUAGAGCUUUUGCUUACCAAUCACAACAUCCUGAGUUCAAACCCCAGUACUACCA